rnacentral:lncRNA from 1 species
GCAAUGAAAGAGUUGUUUUAGGGAUGAACAAGUCCCUGAUAAUUGAAUCCAUUCAUCACUUUGUCAGCAUCACAAUGUUUAUGUUUUGCUGAUCAUUAUCGGAUGGUACAAUUUUGAAUUGUUUUAAGAAGUUGCUGUGUUUUGCUCAACUGUUUUGUUAUGUCAAUGAUGAUAGAUCCUAAGGCUUGUUUCUCUAAAAACGUUACGCAGUGGCCGCCUAAGUGCUUUCGCCUUCGCCAGGCUUGAGAGUAUGCUGCUUCUAUCCUUCCUUGGAUGUCUGAGUCUUUUUAACUAAGUUUAAGUUUUAGCUAUGUUAGAUUUGGUUCUUGUUUGAUGAUGAAUAUCUGUGUAAUCGUCUUAGAACUAGUGUUCAAUUGCUUUUCUAUCCUUCAUGAACUUCUUGUCUUUUGCCUAUGAUGAUAGAUCCUAAGGCUUGUUUCUCAAAGCAUUCGCAGUGGCCGACUAAGUGCUUUCGCCUUCGCCAUGCUUGAGAGUAUAUGCUGCUUUUAUCCUUCCUUGGAUGUCUGAGUCCUUUUUUGCUAGUAUAUUUUAGUAUUUCCCCUUUUGCUUCUUUUUUUGAUUGUUCAUAUAUCUUUGAAUUCAAAUUGUAUCCUAUUUAAAGUAGGUGUUAGAUACUGUCUUUUAUGUUACCACACUAGUAAUUGUACUUGUCACUUGGUGUUACCUUUUAAUUAGUUCCACUCAAUUUUUUUUUCUUUGAGUUUGGCUUUGAUGUUAACCUGAUACUAUAUCAUUGUCAUAGAUGGUUGGAUUUAAGCUUUUAUAAAUAUUUGAUUCGUGUUCCUAGUCUAGUUUGAGCUUCCUAUACAUCAUCUACUCUUCGCUACUCAGGUUCCUCACAUGGUUUUAGCAAUGGUGUUUCUCUAUCAAGUUUGAGCUGUCCUGAUCAAUUUAUUGUCCUUUUAGUGCAUUUUAUUGUUUUGUAUAUGGUAUUAGCACAUCUAUGACU